rnacentral:rRNA from 1 species
GGGAAUAUUGGGCAAUGGGCGCAAGCCUGACCCAGCAACGCCGCGUGAAGGAAGAAGGCUUUCGGGUUGUAAACUUCUUUUGACAGGGAAGAGUAGAAGACGGUACCUGUCGAAUAAGCCACGGCUAACUACGUGCCAGCAGCCGCGGUAAUACGUAGGUGGCAAGCGUUGUCCGGAUUUACUGGGUGUAAAGGGCGUGUAGCCGGGUUGACAAGUCAGGUGUGAAAUCCUGCGGCUUAACCGCAGAACUGCAUUUGAAACUGUUGAUCUUGAGUACUGGAGAGGCAGACGGAAUUCCUAGUGUAGCGGUGAAAUGCGUAGAUAUUAGGAGGAACACCAGUGGCGAAGGCGGUCUGCUGGACGAUGACUGACGUUGAGGCUCGAAAGCGUGGGGAGCAAACAGG